CAAACAGAUAAAUCAGUAUGUUAGUUAUGGAUGUAUUUAUACUCUUCCAUAACACAAGCCAUUCUUAUUUUUAAAGUCCAUUUCCUUGGAAAUCAAUCUCAAAAGAAAGGCUGGAUGGUAGGCUGCAAUUUGUCGAAACUGCAUAAAGAAACCGAAGGAAGCAAGGACUGGUAUUCCAGCUCAUCAGCAUCCUUUACCCCCGGGAUGUCAACCACCCUGCAGGGGACAAAGAAGCAUGAAGAGUCCAGCGUUCCCAACAUAUCCUUCCUGUUGUGAUAUAUUUCAACAACAUUACAAAUGCCUCCUUGUUAUCUGCUCCAAAUCUCUCUAGUUAGAACUGUCAGGAGUUGGUAAAUGUGCUUCUCAGGUGGCUUUAGCUGGCUGCUCCAGAAACCCUUCAUGUGUUCAUGCUGACUUUGCUGCUUUUUCACACCUUUUUCAGUGCUAACACUGGGCAUGCUCACACUAGUUCUUAAACACAGACAUUUUAAACCAGACCUUCAGCUGGGCUAUUUCUUUUUCCUGGUAACUGUAGGCAGGAGCACUGCAAGCCUAAGUCCAGUGUUUCCAGCCCUGCUGCUGCUCCUUCUCCCAGGAACUCUGGAGCCCCUCUGCUAAGAGCUGUGAUGCCACAGCACGAGCAGUAUUCCCAUGCCCUGCCUUUCUAACGCCUCCUAUUAUUACUGUUUCAGUGCUCUGAUGCUGUUCAACAUGUACAGUACUGACAGGCUGAUCACAGAAUAAUUUAAAAAUACAGAUGUAAAGCACUUUUAUUUCUCCUAAUGAAUAUACCUAUAAUGCUCUCUAUCAGUGAUAACUCUGUUUCCUGAAACCAACAAACCCUGAAAUAAUAUUGACAGGACCAAUUGCUUGAAACAUGGUAGAAACAUUUUAUAUUGAAGAUACAAGAAGUCACAAUAGGAAUCCUGUAAGCCAAAUGACUCCACAGAGGAUAAAAUGUAUGAAAAAAAAUCUCACUUAUAUUUUUAAAACACAGCUUCAAUAAUUUGUCAUGUCAUUUAAAAG
rnacentral:lncRNA from 1 species